rnacentral:rRNA from 1 species
ACUACGGGAGGCUGCAGUGGGGAAUAUUGCACAAUGGGGGAAACCCUGAUGCAGCGACGCCGCGUGAGUGAGGAAGUAUUUCGGUAUGUAAAGCUCUAUCAGCAGGGAAGAAAAUGACGGUACCUGACUAAGAAGCCCCGGCCAACUAAGUGCCAGCAGCCGCGGUAAUACGGAGGGGGAAAGAGUUAUCCGGAUUUAAUGGGUGGAAAGGGUGCGUAGACGGUUAAUCAAGUCAGAAGUGAAAACCCAUGGCUCAACCUUGGUACUGCUUUUGAAACUGAGGAGCUAGAGUGCAGGAGAGGUAAGCGGAAUUCCUAGUGUAGCGGUGAAAGGCGUAGAUAUUAGGAGGAACACCAGUGGCGAAGGCGGCUUACUGGACUGUAACUGACGUUGAGGCUCGAAAGCGUGGGGAGCAAACAGGAUUAGAUACCCGGGUAGUC